rnacentral:tRNA from 1 species
GACAGUUUGGCCGAGUGGUCUUAGGGCGUGGGUUCAAAUCCCACAGCUGUCA